ACCAAGGCGACGAUCGGUAGCCGACCUGAGAGGGUGAUCGGCCACAUUGGGACUGAGACACGGCCCAGACUCCUACGGGAGGCAGCAGUGGGGAAUAUUGCACAAUGGGGGAAACCCUGAUGCAGCGACGCCGCGUGGAGGAAGAAGGUCUUCGGAUUGUAAACUCCUGUUGUUGAGGAAGAUAAUGACGGUACUCAACAAGGAAGUGACGGCUAACUACGUGCCAGCAGCCGCGGUAAAACGUAGGUCACAAGCGUUGUCCGGAAUUACUGGGUGUAAAGGGAGCGCAGGCGGGAAGACAAGUUGGAAGUGAAAUCCAUGGGCUUAACCCAUGAACUGCUUUCAAAACUGUUUUUCUUGAGUAGUGCAGAGGUAGGCGGAAUUCCCGGUGUAGCGGUGGAAUGCGUAGAUAUCGGGAGGAACACCAGUGGCGAAGGCGGCCUACUGGGCACCAACUGACGCUGAGGCUCGAAAGUGUGGGUAGCAAACAGGAUUAGAUACCCUGGUAGUCCACACUGUAAACGAUGAUUACUAGGUGUUGGAGGAUUGACCCCUUCAGUGCCGCAGUUAACACAAUAAGUAAUCCACCUGGGGAGUACGACCGCAAGGUUGAAACUCAAAGGAAUUGACGGGGGCCCGCACAAGCAGUGGAGUAUGUGGUUUAAUUCGACGCAACGCGAAGAACCUUACCAAGUCUUGACAUCCUGCGACGCACAUAGAAAUAUGUGUUUCCUUCGGGACGCAGAGACAGGUGGUGCAUGGUUGUCGUCAGCUCGUGUCGUGAGAUGUUGGGUUAAGUCCCGCAACGAGCGCAACCCUUAUGGUCAGUUACUACGCAAGAGGACUCUGGCCAGACUGCCGUUGACAAAACGGAGGAAGGUGGGGAUGACGUCAAAUCAUCAUGCCCUUUAUGACUUGGGCUACACACGUACUACAAUGGCGUUAAACAAAGAGAAGCAAGACCGCGAGGUGGAGCAAAACUCAGAAACAACGUCCCAGUUCGGACUGCAGGCUGCAACUCGCCUGCACGAAGUCGGAAUUGCUAGUAAUCGCAGAUCAGCAUGCUGCGGUGAAUACGUUCCCGGGCCUUGUACACACCGCCCGUCACACCAUGAGAGCCGGGGGGACCCGAAGUCGGUAGUCUAACCGCAAGGAGGACGCCGCCGAAGGUAAAACUGGUGAUUGGGGUGAAGUCGGAACAAGGUAGCCGUAGGAGAACCUGCGGCUG
rnacentral:rRNA from 1 species